ACACAUGCUUCAAUAUAUCCAAAAUAGAAUUAUUGCUGCUUUUUUCAUUGGUCAUGCAAAUGGGCCGAGGACAAUGAGUGAAACUCCUAAAAAAAUGUCAAACCAAAGUACCUCAAAAUGCUCCUAGUCUUGUGAGAAAUUGUGGAUGGGAGGGGAAUUCAAUCCGGAAUGUGGAAGAAAUCUGUUCAUGUCAUCAUGAUUUGUCCGGACGUCAAAGCAGAUGCUCCAAAACCUCAGUGCCAUGCAAUUGGUGGUUGCAAUUUGUGGGGUCUUCAAUAAACAUAUGAAUCGGAAAACACGUACAGCCUUUAAUUUGUGAUCAAGAGGCGAUGGGGCUUGUUCUGAUGAUCCACGUAAGCUGUCAUCAUCGUUGUCGUGACAAAAAAUCAGAGAUGGGGAGGCUUCUGCAAUUACAUCACGUGGUACAUCGUACGCCGGGGGUUCAGGGUUGCAAUGCAGACUAUUGUGUAGUAGAGUCGGCACAAAAUCCGGAGAUUGAAAUCAGAGACGGGCAAGUCCAGACUCCAGAGCCGUUGCGUCAGGAAAAAAAUUCGGCAUUGGGCUCAUACAAAAUAUAAGCUACGGUGGAAAAUGGUCGGCAACUUCUUGCAUCGUCCUGUAGAGGUUUGUUUGGUGAAAUCUGACAGUGGUCCAGCGAACCCCGUCGGAGACUCGGAGGCGUGGCAGCUUUUGACAGUGGUCUUGCAAACUCUGUCGGUGGUCCAGAAUUUUCCGGUUGAGGUUCGAUGGCUUUCUACGAUGGUUCGACAGUUUGAUAAAAAGAAGUUCAAACUUAAAAAAUGGUUUAUGAUUUUUUUUAAAAAUGUAAAUAUUUUUACAAAAAUUAAAGAAAGUUUUUAUAUUCAACCGAAAUAUUUUUUGGUUUGACCACAAUUUCCAGUCUAUAAAAAAAAUAAAAAC